UUAAAUUUGCCUCGGUAAUGCCACUCUCAGUGGCUGCAGGUUCGGACAUUUGCAUUUGGCGAGAUACAUCGCAUGGAUUGUGCACAGUGGGAUCAGCAUAUUGUAAGCUUGCUGGUGCUAAUUGGGAGCCGAAAGAUGGGAAAUGGAAGGUGAUUUGGAAAGUUCUAGGACCUCAGAGAGUUAGACAAUUCCUCUGGCCAGCUGUUAAAGAGCGUUUUUUGACGAAUAACGACCGAUUGAGG
rnacentral:lncRNA from 1 species